rfam:Triticum aestivum genome assembly, contig: Triticum_aestivum_CS42_TGACv1_scaffold_146188_2BS
AAAAUACUCCCUCCGUCCAGAAAUACUUGUCAAAAAGAUGGAUGUAUCUAGACGUAUUUAAGUUCUAGAUAUAUUUUUUUAAUCUAUUUCCUCGAUAAGUAUUUCUGGACGGAGGGAGUAGUAC